rnacentral:rRNA from 1 species
CCUACGGGUGGCAGCAGUGGGGAAUAUUGCACAAUGGGGGAAACCCUGAUGCAGCGACGCCGCGUGAGUGAAGAAGGAUCUCGGUAUGUAAAGCCCCAUCAGCAGGGAAGCAAAUGACGGUACCUGUGUCAGAAGCCGCGGCUAACUACGUGCCAGCAGCCGCGGUAAUGCGUAGGGGGCAAGCGUUAUCCGGAUUUACUGGGUGUAAGGGGGGCGUAGACGGCAGCACAAGGCUGGAGUGAAAUGCCGGGGCUUAACCCCGGAACGGCAUUGGAAACUGUGCGGCUAGAGUGCAGGAGAGGUAAGUGGAAUGCCUGGUGUAGCGGUGAAAUGCGUAGAUAUUAGGAGGAACACCAGUGGCGAAGGCGGCUUACUGGACUGUAACUGACGUUGAGGCACGAAAGCGUGGGGAGCGAACAGGAUUAGAUACCCGAGUAGUC